UAAAGGACAUCAUUCUGCCUUUGGAAUAUAUAUAUGUAUGUGUGCAAUAUAUUUAUACGAAGGAAAAUAAAAAUAAAUAGCAAGAGCAAAAUAUCUAGAGGGUAGCCUAUUAAAGAAGGUCAUUGUGUAUCCAACCUAGACAACUCACUCUGUCACAGACAAAAAAGAUAAUUAUGAUGUGAAACAAGAAACAUUGCCUUGUAGAUCAUCUUCGUAUCUGUUGUUAUAUGUAUAGAAACGAAAAAAAAAAAAAGGAAGAUCACCCACCAUGCCACUUUCUUUUGCACUUUACAUUCUCUUUGAAUAUCCCAUUGGUGCAGUACAAGAGGAAAAAAGAGAAAAAUAAGUAGGAGAAGAAAAAGGUCUAUUAACUAAGAAGCUAGUGCCCUGUGCUUCUGAUGAGGAAUUGGCUUAUGUCUCCGGCGAAGAUCCUCCACGAGUUGGCGAGUCUCGUGCCUGCCAGAAGCACUGCAGUGCCUAUAAGAUUUUGUUAUUUGCUUGGUAGAUAUUUCUAGUUCUUUCAUUUCAUCCAAAACAAUCUGCCUGUUUCUGCAUUCUAUGCUGCAAAAGCCUUGAUCUCCCCUGUUAUCAAACCAUGUUAGAUCUGUUCGUUUCUCUCUAUGAUCAUCCCAGCAAAGGACUAAACUAAACUAAUUAAAAGGUGCAUGUAUAUGAAAGUUUUCUUUUCCUGGUGAUAAUUAAAGAUUAUUUAAAUUGCCUGCUGUACUAUAAAUAUAUAGAUCGACAAAUUGCAAGGGAAAAAAAAAAGAUUGAAAGAUAAUUUAGCCCCAAGAAUUAAUGGUGAAGUUAAUGAAGUAUUUAUAGUUACCUGUACAUGUAGAUGUCUUUGUGUAGGCUCAACUUCAUUUUGCAUAAAUAACAAGAUUUGAGGUAGCAAUAAGAUUCAAUGGUGGUGGCUGAAGAAGCAGGAGGAAGGUGAUGAUGAUUUACUUUUUUCAUUGAAGUUUUUAAAACAACAUUGGAUUUGGAUUUGGAUUUUCCUUCUGAUGAUGAUAUCUGUACAAGGGUUUGCAACCCAACAACCAUUAAUCCCUCUCUAGAAGUUGUAGAAGUUGAAUUGGAGUCCUGAGAGAAACCUCCAAGCAUUUCAAAGGGAUUCUUGAAAUUGAAAUUUCUUAGCGGCAGAGGGAUUCUUGAAUUUUGAAGGAAAGAAAGAGAAAUGAGAAGAAAAUUAGUCAGGCAUUG
rnacentral:misc_RNA from 1 species